GAAAAAGCGACGAAAAGAAACAGUAGCGACAGAGCGCAUUCAGAGAGAAAGCGGCAGGUGAAAGCUUUUUGCAGAAUCUAUCGUGAACCGGUCUUGGAGCUGUGCACCGAAGAGAAGAAAAUCCAUCAGGGAAAAUUUAUUUCGUAGGCUGCACCGGGAUCUCCCGUUACAGAGAAGGUACAGAGAGCAGAGAUCACGCGUAUUACAAAAUACAAAAAUCGUGGGGUACAAAUGCUUUGUGUCAGAGUGCAGGAGUUUUCCUGAAUUUAGGUGGUACCGCGGAUAAAAAAUUCGCCCUAAAC
rnacentral:ncRNA from 1 species